rfam:[Clostridium] hungatei strain DSM 14427 CLHTN_contig000008, whole genome shotgun sequence.
UCCAUCGCGAGGUGGAAUCUGAAAGAAGCCGGAGGCAAAAUCCCGGCCUGACGAAUAGAAACCGCAUAUAAGGCAUAUGUAAGCCGGACGAGUUUGCAGAACAAAACGAAGUCCAAAGCUAUCCGAAGCUUACGGUGUAAAUGCGGCAGGUAGAUGGGAUGAAGGGGCGCGAG